GCUUAUGGUCACGCCACCCUGAGCACAGUCACACCUGAUCUCGUCUGAUUUGGGGAAUUAAACAAGUUUGGGUCUGGUUAGUAUCUGGAUGGGAGACUGCCUGGGAAUACCGGGUGCUGUAGGCU
rnacentral:rRNA from 1 species